rnacentral:rRNA from 1 species
UACGUAGGGUGCGAGCGUUAAUCGGAAUUACUGGGCGUAAAGCGUGCGCAGGCGGUUUUGUAAGUCUGACGUGAAAUCCCCGGGCUCAACCUGGGAAUUGCGUUGGAGACUGCAAGGCUGGAGUCUGGCAGAGGGGGGUAGAAUUCCACGUGUAGCAGUGAAAUGCGUAGAUAUGCGGAGGAACACCGAUGGCGAAGGCAAUCCCCUGGACCUGUACUGACGCUCAUGCACGAAAGCGUGGGGAGCAAACAGG